rnacentral:rRNA from 1 species
GAUGAACGCUGGCGGCGUGCUUAACACAUGCAAGUCGAACGAGAAGUGAAGACGGUCACCUUCGGGCGGAAGGCUUUAUUUAGAGUGGCGGACGGGUGAGUAAAGCGUGGGUAACCUGCCUCAUACAGGGGGAUAACAGUUGGAAACGACUGUUAAUACCGCAUAAGACCACAGCACCGCAUGGUGCGGGGGUUAAAGCUCCGGUGGUAUGAGAUGGACCCGCGUUAGAUUAGCCAGUUGGAGGGGUAACGGCCCACCAAAGCGGGGAUCGAGAGCCGAUCUGAGAGGAGGCCCGGCCACAGUUGGACUGAGACACGGCCCAGACGCCUACGGGAGGCAGCGGUGGGGACUAUUGCAGAGUGGGGGCAGGCCUGAUGCAGCGACGCGGGGUGUGAGAAGAAUUAUUUCGGGAUGUAAAGCUCUAUCAGCAGUGAAGAAAAUGACGGUACCUGGGGAAGAAGCCCCGGCUAACUACGUG